UACAGAGGUCCCAAGCGUUACUGAGAAUCACUGGGUUUAAAGGGUGCGUAGGUGGUCCGUUAAGUCAGUUGUGAAAUCCCCGGGCUCAACCUGGGAACUGCAUUUGUGACUGCAUCGCUGGAGUGCGGCAGAGGGGGAUGGAAUUCCGCGUGUAGCAGUGAAAUGCGUAGAUAUGCGGAGGAACACCGAUGGCGAAGGCAAUCCCCUGGGCCUGCACUGACGCUCAUGCACGAAAGCGUGGGGAGCAAACAGG
rnacentral:rRNA from 1 species